GAUGAACGCUGGCGGCGUGCCUAAUACAUGCAAGUCGAGCGAACAGACGAGGAGCUUGCUCCUCUGACGUUAGCGGCGGACGGGUGAGUAACACGUGUAUAACCUACCUAUAAGACUGGGAUAACUUCGGGAAACCGGAGCUAAUACCGUAUAAUAUAUUGAACCGUAUGGUUCAAUAGUGAAAGACGGUUUUGCUGUCACUUAUAGAUGGAUCCGCGCCGCAUUAGCUAGUUGGUAAGGUAACGGCUUACCAAGGCAACGAGGCGUAGCCGACCUGAGAGGGUGAUCGGCCACCCGGGAACUGAGACACGGUCCAGACUCCUACGGGAGGCAGCAGUAGGGAAUCUUCCGCAAUGGGCGAAAGCCUGACGGAGCAACGCCGCGUGAGUGAUGAAGGUCUUCGGAUCGUAAAACUCUGUUAUUAGGGAAGAACAAAUGUGUAAGUAACUAUGCACGUCUUGACGGUACCUAAUCAGAAAGCCACGGCUAACUACGUG
rnacentral:rRNA from 1 species